CUUUUACUGUUUGAGUCCAUUCAUUCAACCUGGACUUCCUUAGCUUGCUUGUGAGAAUGUUGUGGGAGACGGGAUCAAAAGCCUUGUUAGGGUCAAG